AACUAUUAAUAAUUUUGUUUUGAAAACAAAAUGUAUGAUUUAUCUUGUAGUUUUA
rnacentral:tRNA from 1 species